UUAAGGAAAAAAAUCCCGAAAUCCUCAUCUUCCUCAAUUCUCUCUCUCUCUCUCUCUCUGUCUCUCUCAUAAUUUAUCUUCAUCUAACACAACCUCACCCUCACCUCUCUUCCGAUUCAAUAUUCCCUCAACCAUCCCUUCACCUUCACCCUCUCAAUUCCCCAAACCCCAAAAACCAGAUCUCACCCUCGCCCAAACUUGAAUCUCAACUCCAGCGAGGAUAACAUCCAGCCCUGCACAACUCCAAAGCUACGAUCAUCUCGCUCCCAUCUUCGAUUCACGGCUGGCAAGAUUCGAUGAAGCCUCUCCUCCAUGUUCUGAUUCGACGAAGAACAAGAGUUUUGAAUCAUCGGAUUUGAGUGAAGAACAAAGGCAUAUCCAUACCAAUGAGUGUCUUGACAAAUAAGAUACUCGAGGUCAAAGUAGUUGUUGACGAAGCUAAAUCCCUACAAUCAUCGGAUGUCAUGCUGCAGAGAAGAUUUAGUUGGAGAUCGACAACGAUGCGAAGAGGAAUAUAUUAUUUGUGAUUUUGUUUUUGUUUUUUGAGGUUUAUGUCUUACUGUGUGUUUUCAGGGUUGAGGUUUUCUUAGAUUAGGCAAGGAAAUAAAUUAGUCAUUUCUAUUGAAUUUUUAUUUGAGAUUUCUAGUUUAAAUAUGAAAACCUAAAAAUGAAGGGAUUGAUUUCAGGGUUUA